rnacentral:rRNA from 1 species
AUUGGAGGAAAGUAGGGGAUCGCAAGACCUCGCACUAUGGGAGCGGCCGAUAUCGGAUUAGCUAGUUGGCGGGGUAAAAGCCCACCAAGGCGACGAUCCGUAGCUGGUCUGAGAGGAUGAUCAGCCACACUGGAACUGAGACACGGUCCAGACUCCUACGGGAGGCAGCAGUGGGGAAUUUUGGACAAUGGGCGCAAGCCUGAUCCAGCCAUGCCGCGUGUGUGAUGAAGGCCUUCGGGUUGUAAAGCACUUUCGGACGGAACGAAAUCGCGUGGGCGAAUAUCCCGCGUGGAUGACGGUACCGUAAGAAGAAGCACCGGCUAACUACGUGCCAGCAGCCGCGGUAAUACGUAGGGUGCGAGCGUUAAUCGGAAUUACUGGGCGUAAAGGGUGCGCAGGCGGCCCCGCAAGUCAGGCGUGAAAUCCCCGAGCUUAACUUGGGAAUUGCGUUUGAAACUACAAGGCUAGAAU